rnacentral:rRNA from 1 species
UACAGAGGUCUCGAGCGUUGUUCGGAUUCAUUGGGCGUAAAGGGUGCGUAGGUGGCGUGGUAAGUCUGGUGUGAAAAUCCCGGGGGCUCAACCCCCGGAACUGCACUGGAUACUGCCAUGCUUGAGUACUGGAGAGGAGAUUGGAAUUUACGGUGUAGCAGUGAAAUGCGUAGAUAUCGUAAGGAAGACCAGUGGCGAAGGCGAAUCUCUGGACAGUUACUGACACUGAGGCACGAAGGCCAGGGGGAGCAAACGGG